UCGGCGUGGUCGUCGGAUCGGGCCGCCGCCGUGUUUUGUCUUGGAUCUCUCUUUGUUUCAACUACAUAACCUCUUAAGUCUUCUUUGUAUCUUCCGUCAACCAUUCGGGUUAGUCCAGAAACUACCAAACAUGGAUGAUGAUUGGGAUGCACCACCAUCAAAGCCGCUGCACUCGGGCGGCGGCGGGUUCGGCGGCGGCGGCGGC
rnacentral:lncRNA from 1 species